AUUGAACGCUGGCGGCAUGCCUUACACAUGCAAGUCGAACGGCAGCACGGACUUCGGUCUGGUGGCGAGUGGCGAACGGGUGAGUAAUAUAUCGGAACAUACCUUGUAGUGGGGGAUAACUAUCCGAAAGGAUAGCUAAUACCGCAUACGCUCUAAGGAGGAAAGCGGGGGAUCGUAAGACCUCGUGCUAUAAGAGUGGCCGAUAUCUGAUUAGCUAGUUGGUGAGGUAAAGGCUCACCAAGGCGACGAUCAGUAGCUGGUCUGAGAGGACGGCCAGCCACACUGGAACUGAGACCCGGUCCAGACUCCUACGGGAGGCAGCAGUGGGGAAUUUUGGAAAAUGGGGGCAACCCUGAUCCAGCAAUGCCGCGUGAGUGAAGAAGGCCUUCGGGUUGUAAAGCUCUUUUGUCAGGGAAGAAACGGUUGUGGCUAAUAUCCAUGGCUAAUGACGGUACCUGAAGAAUAAGCACCGGCUAACUACGUGCCAGCAGCCGCCGUAACAC
rnacentral:rRNA from 1 species